rnacentral:rRNA from 1 species
GACGUAGGGCGCGAGCGUUUGUCCGGAUUUAUUGGGCGUAAAGAGCUCGUAGGCGGCUUGUCGCGUCGGACUGUGAAAACCCGUGGCUCAACCAUGUGGUCUGCAGUCGAUACGGGCAGGCUAGAAUUCGGUAGGGGAGACUGGAAUUCCUGGUGUAGCGGUGAAAUGCGCAGAUAUCAGGAGGAACACCGGUGGCGAAGGCGGAUCUCUGGGCCUUACCUGACGCUCGAGGCGCGAAAGCUAGGGGAGCGAACUGG